UGCCUGCCUGCCGUCUGGAUGCC
rnacentral:piRNA from 1 species